rnacentral:rRNA from 1 species
GAUGAACGCUGGCGGCGUGCUUAACACAUGCAAGUCGAACGGUGAAGCAGAGCUUGCUCUGUGGAUCAGUGGCGAACGGGUGAGUAACACGUGAGCAACCUGCCCCGGACUCUGGGAUAAGCGCUGGAAACGGCGUCUAAUACCGGAUACGAGAUGCCACCGCCUGGUGAGUUUCUGGAAAGAUUUUUUGGUCUGGGAUGGGCUCACGGCCUAUCAGCUUGUUGGUGAGGUAAUGGCUCACCAAGGCGUCGACGGGUAGCCGGCCUGAGAGGGUGACCGGCCACACUGGGACUGAGACACGGCCCAGACUCCUACGGGAGGCAGCAGUGGGGAAUAUUGCACAAUGGGCGGAAGCCUGAUGCAGCAACGCCGCGUGAGGGAUGACGGCCUUCGGGUUGUAAACCUCUUUUAGCAGGGAAGAAGCGAAAGUGACGGUACCUGCAGAAAAAGCGCCGGCUAACUACGUGCCAGCCGCCGCAGUAA